rfam:Pteropus alecto contig70699, whole genome shotgun sequence.
GGCUCCAUAGUGUAGUGGUUAGCAUGUCUGCUUUACACACAGAAGGUCCUAGGUUCGUGCCCCAGAUGGAGCCA